CAGCUGUGUCGGCAUUGUUGAUGUCGGCAGGAAAGUUUGAUACUUCGUCAAAGAUACUUUGAAAAGCUUCUAAAAUAGUGAUACUGGAAAUACUGCCCAAAGAUGGCACAAGACACAUCCAAAGAAUUAAGCAUAGUCUUACUUGGAAAACCAGGAGCAGGGAAGAGUGCCUCAGGAAAUACUAUCCUGGGCAAGAAUGCUUUUUUGUCUAAAAAAUGUUUCAAAUCCGUCACCUCAGAAAUUGAAGUUGCAAGAUCGUGUGUUAAUGGAAUGAUGGUGGCUGUGUAUGACACUCCAGGAUUUCUUGCCACUGAAGAAGAAAAUAAACUAAAAUGUCAGCAACUAAUCAAAACAUGUGAAUCUGAUCUUUGUGUUCUAGUGGUGGUGAAAAUAGACAGAUUUACACCAGAUGAUAAGAAAAUUGUUGACAACAUUGUAGAACUUUUAGAUGAGCAGUUAAUGCAGAGUUGGAUCCUUUUCACUGGAGGUGACGAACUUGAAGGUGAGAAAAUUGAGGACUUCAUUAAUGAGACAGAUAACCUCAAGGAAGUUGUUCAACAAUUUGGAAAUCGUUACCAUGUGUUCAAUAACAAGAAUAAUAAUCAAGACGACGUUCAGGUUGGACUACUUCUGAACAAAGCAUUCAAGGAAUUCCAGAUACACUCCAGUUUCAACAGGCCCCAAGAAAGCCCAACACAUAACCAUAAUCAUCCUGGGAGUAGAAUUGUGCUUGGGGAAACUGGACCUGGAAAGAGUGCAACAGAUUACAAUUUAUUUCAAUCUGUUACAUCCAUAUUUCCAGCAAUAGGAGGCUUUGUGGGAGAAGCAUGUGGAGGAAAAGUGGGACAAGCGGUGGGACAAACUGUGGCAGGAGCAUUGGUAGGAAUACUGAAUGCACCAGAGGGAGAACGAUUGGAAGGAGCAAUAAAAGGAGCAGCAGUAGAAGCAGUGGCAGCAGCUGAAGAAGCAGUGAACGGAAAUGUACUGAAAGGAGCAGUGGCAGGAGCAGUGGCAGGAGCAGUGAUAGGAGCAGUGAACGCACCAAAGGAAGAACAAUUAGAAAGAGCAUUGAAAGGAGCAUUGAAAGGAGCAGUGGUAAAAGCAGUCAAAGAAGUGAUGAGACCAGAGGAAAAAGUACUGAAAAGAGCAGUGGCAGAGGCAGUGAUAGGAGCAGUGGAAGGAGCAGUGAAUGCACCAAAGGGAGAACAAUUAAAAGGCGCAGGGUAUGGAUCAUUGAAUGGAGCAAUUACCGUAGCAGUGAAAGAAGUAAGGAGAAGAACAUUGGAAGUAGCAGUGGGACAAGCUCCAGGAGGAAAAGUGGUAGAAGCAGCGGGAGGAGCAGCAGUGGUAGAAGCAGUGGGAGGAGCAGCAGUGGUAGAAGCAGUAGGAGGAGCAGCAGGGGGAACAGUGGUAGAAGCAGUGGGAGGAGCAGCAGGGGGAGCAGUGGUAGAAGCAGUAGGAGGAGCAGCAGUGGUAGAAGCAGUGGGAGGAGCAGCAGGGGGAGCAGUGGUAGAAGAAGUAGGAGGAGCAGCAGGAGAAGCAGUGGUAGAAGCAGUGGGAGGAGCAGUAGUGGGAACGUUGUUCGAAGCAAUGGGAGGAGCAGCAGGAGGAAUGGUAGUAGCAGUAGCAGUAACAGUAAAAGCAGCAACAGCAGCCACAGCAAGAAAAGUGUGAGGAACAAUGGGUUGGAGUAAAUAAUCAAUGAUGGUACUGGUUCAGGCAAUCUCAAGAAGGGGAAGGUUCUGCAGACUGUCCUGCUCUUGCCUCUUCUACCCCCAUACUUGGUUUGUGUGGGUGCCUUUUAGCUUUGUGUCUUUGCAAUUAUUCUAAUUCCCUGUUUCUGUCCUUUUGUAUCCUGUAUACUCAAUUUUCAAGCUGAGCUUAGAAUAAAAUAAUAUCCCUUGUAUGGAUGCACAGUAUAGUAUGUAUAAGUAUGUAGGCUUUUUGGUUUAAAUGUACUGUUUUGCACCCUUGAAUGCAUACAGAAAUUGUUACAUUGUUUCUGUCUCCAACAAUUUCGGUGAUUUAACUGUUUAUGUUAAAUAUCUGAAGCAUAAUAUUGCAAAACAGUAACAUCAAGAAAUAAAUUGCAUUAAAUCUCAAAGAUCACAGUUUAAAUAUGCUCUAACUUAUCAGUCACAAAAAGUUCUACAAUUGCAAUUUGUGCACUGAUAUUACUGAAGUUAGUAUAAAGCAUCACUUUGGAGUUUGUAUAGGAACAGGAAAUAAUUAUUUAAAUAAAUUGACUUCAGUUGUCUGUGCAGUUUGAUAUUGGUCACAUGAAACCCAUGUCAUGUGCAUUGUGAUUUCUUAAUUGUAUUGUUUGCUUGUACCAAAGGGCAGAUGGUGAUCAUGUUGGAGGGCCAACAUUUUGCUAAAUCAUUGUAUUAUUUUCUAAUUGCAUGUAUACCUACUGUAACUAUCACUGUAGAAAUAAAUGUGAAUGCAGCAUAUGAAUGGGUUUGCUGUAUACAGCUACCAACUGUGUACUAAUUACAACAUUAAGCAGUUAAUAUAUGAACUAUUCAGCUUGAAAUAGAAUACAUUUUACACAAUUUUGUUUUUACAAAAUGCAUUUCUUAAGAGUGCAUUUAUACAUACCUAUACAUGGCCAAUGUUUGUGCAUCUGCAAACAAGUGAUGUUAAUUCAUUCUAAUUUUGCAUUCACAUGAAAAUAUGUUAUAAUUUCAAUAUGCACCUGUAUCAGACCUGGGUCAAAUAUGUAUUUGUUUUGGAUUCAAAUACUUUUCUGUGCUCUGUUGAUCUUGCCUGGUGUUAUUGAGCCUGCCAAUAUGACCAAAAGGUGGGGUUUGCACUGUUUGAGAGUAUUUCAUUGGUUCCAAUACACCAGACAAGAUCAGUAAAGCGUAGAAAAGUAUUUGAAUCCAAAACAAAUACAUAUUUGGUCUGACCUGUAUAAAUGGUUCAGCUUGAAUACUAAAUGUUUUGUGCUGAAUUUGAAGAAUUCAUAUGUCAACGGUGAAUGGGCAAUUACUAGCUGCAUUGUACAAUCACAAUGAGAUAACUGUCAAUACAAAUAUUUUAAAUUUAUGUCAAUUAUAGCAUUAACUGUAGCCUAUAACACCUUCAUACUGUUGAAUGUAUAUGGAACGCAUUGUCUUCAUAUGGGAUGUCAUCUGUGAGCAACUUACAGAAUCAGGGAAUUUUGUUAUGCUAAGCAAUACUUUAUUUGGACUGGAUUAUGUAAAACAAAUAAAAUUGCAGUAAUCCAUUGGAUAUACACUACAUGGACAAAAAUAUGUGGACAGCUGAACAUCGCACCCAUAUGUGCUUGUUCAACAUUUCAUUCCAAAACCAUGGGCAUUACUAUGGAGUUGGUCCCCCUUUGUUGCUAGAACAGCCUCCACUAUUCUGGGAAGGUUUUCCCUUCAAUUUUGGAACAUGGCUGUGGGGAUUCGCUUCCAUUAAGCCACAAGAAUAUUAGUGAGGUCAGGCACUGAUGUUGGGCAAUAAGGCCUGGCUCACAUUCCAAUUCAUCUCAAAGGUAUGUAAUGGGGUUGAGGUCAGGGCUCUGUACAGGCCAGUCAAGUUCUUCCACAUCAGCAAACCAUUUAUUUAUUGAACUUGCUUCAUUCACGGGAACAUUGUCAUACUGAAAGGGGCCUAGCCCAAACCAUGAGAAACAGCCCCACACCAUUAUUUCUCCUCCACCAAAUUUUCUAUUUGGCUCUAUGCAUUCAGGCAGUUAGCAUUCUCCUGCCAUUUGCCAAACCAAGAUUUGUCCGUGAGACUGCCAGAUAGUGCAGCAUGAUUCAUCACUCCAGAGAACGUGUUUCCACUGCUCCAGAUUCCAAUGGUAGUGUGCUUUACACCAGUCCACCACUACGCUUGACAUUGCACAAUGUGAUCUUAGGCUUGUGUGCUGCUGCUUGGCCUUGGAAACCCAUUUUUAUAAAUCUCUCAAUGAACAGUUCUAGUGAGUGUUGCAACCCAGAACAGACCAUUUUUACAUGCUAUGGCACUCAGAACUCCUGUUCUAUGAGCUUGUGUGGCCUACCACUUUGUGGCUGAGCUGUUGUUUUUCCUAGACAUUUCUACUACACAAUAUCAGCACUUACUGUUGACCAGGGCAGCUCUAGCAGGGCAGAAAUUUGACAAACUGACUUGUUGGAAAGGUGGCAUCCUGCGACAGUGCCACGUUGAAAGUCACUGAGCUCUUCAGUAUGACCUUUGCAGUAUCUACUGCAAAUGUUUGUCUAUGGAGUUUAGAUGGCUAUAUGCUUGAUUAUAUGCACCCAUUAGCAAUGAAGUAGCCAAAUCUACAAAUUUGAAGGGGUGGCCACAUACAUUUGGCCAUGUAUGUUCCUUAUGUGGCAAUGAGUGACAUAACCAUGGCAAGUGUGGAAUAUCUGUAAAAUAACACUGAUUUUUUUAAUGAAGAAUGUUUUCAUAUUUGGAGCUAUAUAGCAUCACCAUGUCUUUUGAUUUGUUUAAUUCCUAAGGUCAUGAUGAUUUGUGUGAAAAUAAAAAUUCCAAGUUUCAUCACUUUGUCAAACAAUUUAUUAUCUUGUUCUAAUAAACCAUUCUGACAUGCAAGUUAA